rnacentral:sRNA from 1 species
CCGAGUGAAGGCUUGAACAGAGCCCCAUCUCCCAACCCUUGUCUUCUGUACCCCUUUUGCUUUGGCAGGUCCGCCACCAUUUUGGCCGCUGAAGGAUUCUUAGUUAUAAAUUAUUAACUAAACCUUGGGCCUGUGCCUGCCAGGGAACUUUAAACACAUGUUAUGAAACUGGGUUUGUCUGAGAAUUCAAAGAAAAUAACUAAAACUUUCAACAACGGAUCUCUUGGUUCUGGCAUCGAUGAAGAACGCAGCGAAAUGCGACAAGUAAUGUGAAUUGCAGAAUUCCGUGAAUCAUCGAAUCUUUGAACGCACAUUGCGCCCUCUGGUAUUCCGGAGGGCAUGCCUGUCCGAGCGUCAUUGCACUACCUCAAGCCCGGCUUGUGUGUUGGGCUUACUGUCUUAUCAGACAGUAGCCCCAAAGGCAGUGGCAGGGUCGCAGUCCGGUCCUUUCAAUGCAUAUGGGGCAUUGUCACCUGCUUGAAGGCUGGCCGACUCUUUUAUGCCUAUUGUGGAUUUCACCCACAAUUGGUUUUUUUG